rnacentral:misc_RNA from 1 species
CUUGGCUACGACGGCCAUCAUUGCUCAAACAAGAUUGUUAUCUACAAAUUUUUCUUUUUAUUGCGAGAUUAUUAUCUACAACUUUUGUGAUCUCAACUCCAUUAAAUUUCACAGAAAAUGAUAAAAAAAGGAAGAAAAGACAAAAAAAAAAAAAAAAUAUUCUACCAAUAAAAAAGAUCACUGCAAGGUGCCUUCAUUCCGGUUGCGUUUCCCACUCUCCCUCGACCACUGCGACUCGAGAUCGAGAGCAUGGAGGAGUCAGAAUCUGGUGAUAGCAUGACCAUUCAACGGCGCGUGGGGUUACUGUACGAUGAGCGGAUGUGUAAGCAUCACACUCCUGAUGAUGAUUAUCAUCCUGAGAAUCCCAACCGCAUCAAGACCAUUUGGAACAAGCUCGUUGCCAAUAACAUUCCUCAAAGAUGUGUUGUUUUGAAUGCCAAAGAAGCAGAAGAUAAAUAUCUACUAGCUGUUCACUCCAAGAAUCAUGUUAAUUUGAUUAGAAAUAUAAGCUCCAAAAAAUUUGAUUCUCGAAGAAAUAGAAUUGCUGCAAAAUUGAAUUCCAUAUAUUUUAAUGAAGGAUCAUCAGAAGCUGCCUACAUUGCUGCUGGUUCUGUCAUAGAGGCAUUGUGCGUAGGCUACUUUAUGGAUACUUGCGCUUAAUUUUUAGUAUUCUGUCCUAUUUUUAGAUGAUCUACCUAUAUCUUAAUGCCAUUACUUCAGGGAUUUUGUUGACAUUAUUUUCAACUGUGAUACGUUAGCUGUAAGACAUUUAAUUUAAUGAGAAAAUAUAAGUGGACUUGAUGGGUUUUGAUGCCUUUAAAUUUCAAAGCUUUCUUGGUUGAUGGGUAUCAUGUGGAAAUCUUGGUGAAUUUACUUCUCAUUUUUUUUUUCCAUCAAAUUUUCAAAUCAAUUAUCAACAGGAUUGUUUAUAAAUGAUGCGGGUUUUACUGGAUAAAGUCAAGGAGUACAAUUACUAUAGUAGAUCUAUCACAAUUAUUUUAGUAAAAAUUUUGUUUCACAUUUACAAAUCUAAUCAUACAUGUGUUUUCAACUAGGUCGCUGAGAGAGUAGCCAAAGGGGAAUUACAUUCUGCUGCUGCUAUUGUUAGGCCUCCUGGGCAUCAUGCUGAACAUGAUGAGGCAAUGGGAUUUUGUCUAUUCAAUAACGUGGCUGUUGCAACGAGUUUUCUAUUAGAUGAAAGACCAGAACUGGGUAUUAAGAAGAUUCUGAUUGUUGACUGGGAUGUUCAUCAUGGUAAUGGUACUCAAAAGAUGUUUUGGAAGGACCCUCGUGUUCUGUUCUUCUCUGUUCACAGGCAUGAGUUUGGGAGCUUUUACCCUGCUAAUGAUGAUGGUUUUUAUACUAUGAUUGGGCAAGGGCUGGGUGCAGGAUACAACAUAAAUGUUCCUUGGGAGCAUGGAAGAUGCGGAGAUGCAGACUAUCUUGCUGUUUGGGACCAUAUAUUGAUACCUGUUGCUAAGGACUUUGAUCCUGACAUGAUUAUAGUGUCUGCAGGGUUUGAUGCAGGUUUGAUGCUCCCUGUUUAUGGAGGUUUAUGACUGUGUCCUAGAUGUUUCGUUUCUGCUCUGUAUGCAUUUCAUUGGACACAGUAGCCUUGUCAAGCAUGUGGUCUUGCAAAUAUAUUUAAUGCACAAAUAUACAUAUUCCUAGUUUUACUUUUUUACUUUCACCUCAAUAUGCAUUUUGGAGCCACUUGCGUUGAAUCAUGAUGAUAUAAAAAGAAUUCGAACAAGCUACUUCAACGCAAUAGGGCUUCUAUUACAAGCAGUUGGGAAAGAAAUGAUUUCAUUGAGAAUUUUCACACCAACUCUAUUAUUCAUUUGAAAAAAGAAGGAUUAAUAGUGUUGAUACAUAUGUAACUCAUAUCAUAACUCAUUUUAGGAGUUCGUUCAAAAAUUUAGUCAUCCCAAAUGAGCAAUUAAUCCCAGAUAGUGUCUGAACAUGAAGAUUGCAGAAACAGUGAACUAGUGGGAAAAGGAGAGGAAAUUUAUCUUUUUAUUUAUGGGCUUGGAUCUAACUUGUUACUCUUUCCAAAUAUUCUGGACUUAAUGGACAACACAAAAGUAAGCUAAAACGUGUGCCUGAAAACAAUAACAAUAACAAUAACAAUUAUGUUUUGAAGAUGCUUUAAAUAACAAUAUCUCUUGAAAAUAGCCAGUUCCACAAGGCAACACAUUGCAGGAUACAUUGGGUGCCUCUAUCUGCAUGUGACAUGCUAAUCUUGUAAUUUACACUAUUUGUUAAGAAAUGUUGCAUUUUACAAUUUACAUUCGUUUCUACUAGAGUAAAUUUUCCUGUUAUAAUUCUUGUAACAGCUGUUGGUGAUCCUCUUGGUGGUUGUCGUGUUACGCCAUAUGGAUAUUCAGUAUUGUUGAAAAAGGUUAGCAUUCUAUUUAAUCGUAUUUUUGGUGGUAUUUUCAUAAUGUUGUCACCUUAACUGUGAAACAGAGAGUUUGUUAGUUUGCUUGUACUAGGAACAUACAGGUGUUAUCUUGCAUGAAAGGCUUAAUCUGAAAUUUCCUACUUUGUUGUUUGAUCUCUUUUUUCUUGAGUUCCCUUUUAAAGUUGGUUGGUGACUUUUGAUUUGUUUAGCACCUUUUACUUUGUAAUUCUUUCGAGAACUAUUAGCAGAGUGUUUCAUGUUUUUCAUAUUUCUUAUGUAUUCUUUUUUCCUCCCUUCCUUUCAGUUAAUGGAUUUUGCCCAUGGUAAGAUUGUGUUGGCAUUAGAAGGGGGUUACAAUCUUGACUCCGUAGCAAAUUCAUUCCUUGCUUGCAUGGAAGUUUUGCUUGAAAGCAAGCCUAUUGCUGGAUCUUCAGAGGCCUAUCCAUUUGAGUCCACUUGGCGUGUGAUACAAGCGGUUCGCAAGAAAUUAAGUGCUUACUGGCCUACACUUGCAGAUGAAAUACCCUUGAAGUUAACCAGUCACAAAGCCCCUCCUCCACAUCUUUUGAUUUCAAGCUCUGAUUCUGAAGAUGAGGUUGACAAAACUCCAAAUAUUGUGUCAGAUAAUAUGGUGGCAGUUGUUCAGGAGAUCACUGAACCUCUUUCAAAGCUGAAAGUCGAAGAUAGUCAUGAUCAAGCGGCCACAAAGUCUGUUCCCUGGAGAUCAGAGCUUUCAAAGAUAGACAUUUGGUAUGCUACUUUUGGAUCAAAUAUGUUGAAACGAAGGUUCCUUUGCUAUAUUCAAGGUGGUCAGGUGGAUGGUAUGGGGAAGCGAUGCUCUGGUUCAAUGGAUAAAAACCCUCCAAAAGAGAUUUUGUGGAAAACUUUCUCCCACAGAUUGUUCUUUGGCCAUGAAUCCACACGUACAUGGGGAAGUGGAGGGGUUGCUUUCCUUCAUCCUGAAAGUAGUGUUGAUGAAAACACUUACAUGUGCAUGUACCAAAUAACGCUGGAACAAUUCAAUGAUGUUUUGUUUCAAGAAAAUGUUUCAAGUAAUGAGAUGGAUUCUCCAGCGUUUGAUUUGGCAGAUCUACAGUCCGUCACAAACCAAGGUUCUGUUUCUUUGGAGGUUUUUAAGAAGGGGUGGUACCAUAAUGUAGUGUACUUGGGAAAGGAGAAAGAUAUUCCUAUACUGACUAUUACCUGCUCACUUUCAGAUGUUGAGAGCUUCAAAUCGAAGAAACUUCCCUUGUGUGCCCCUUGCAACGAAUAUGCCAACACCUUAAUACAAGGCCUGGUGGAAGGAGGACAGCUUUCAGAAGAGGAAGCCAGUGCCUAUAUAAAAGCUGCUUCUAAACCACUAUGAUUGCACAUAUCUGGCUUUCACAUUCUUCUCGUGAAUGUUCCUAAUAGCUUUGGUUGUACAUUCAGAGAUCUUCAGGAAUCGAGGAACCAUGAUGCUGUGGCAAUUUGAUUCAUCGCGUAUCACUUUCUAGUUAGGGUAGUACUGAGGGUGCAGCAAUGAAUUCAAAUGUAAACUGUUAAACCACAACGUAAGACUACUCAUCUACUGUCUUUAUCGCGCAGUUUUCAAAAGAAAAUAUAGCUAAAAUCUGUGAUCAAG